rnacentral:tRNA from 1 species
GGCGUGGUGGUGAAACUGGUAUACACGAAGGACUUAAAAUCCUUUGGACCUCAACAGUCCGUGUGGGUUCGAUUCCCACCCACGCCA